CUCACAUAUUAGGGUGUCACUUGUCUUUCAUUGACAACGAGAAAUUUAACUUCGCCUUGUUCAGUCCCCAAUAAUGAACGUGGAAGAUUCUUACUUCCCGAUUUACCACCAGUUGCUGUUAUGUUUCCAACAGUUGGCGAGGGAAAUGAU